UAGGGAAUAUUGCACAAUGGGCGAAAGCCUGAUGCAGCAACGCCGCGUGUGCGAUGAAGGCCUUCGGGUCGUAAAGCACUUUUCGAGGAGAUGAGGAAGGACAGUAUCCUCGGAAUAAGGAUCGGCUAACUACGUGCCAGCAGCCGCGGUAAAACGUAGGAUCCGAGCGUUAUCCGAAUUCACUGGGCGUAAAGCGCGUGCAGGCGGUUCGGUAAGUUGGAUGUGAAAUCUCCCGGCUCAACUGGGAGAGGUCGUUCAAUACUGUCGGACUUGAGGACGGUAGAGGGAGGUGGAAUUCCCGGUGUAGUGGUGAAAUGCGUAGAUAUCGGGAGGAACACCAGUGGCGAAGGCGGCCUCCUGGACCGUUCCUGACGCUCAGACGCGAAAGCUAGGGGAGCAAACG
rnacentral:rRNA from 1 species